rnacentral:rRNA from 1 species
UGCCAGCCGCCGCGGUAAUACGAAUGGAGCAAGCGUUGUUCGGAAUCACUGGGCUCAAAGCGUUUGUAGGCGGACUUGAAAGUCAGGAGUGAAAUCCCAGGGCUCAACCCUGGAACUGCUCUUGAAACUCCAAGUCUAGAAUACUGGAGAGGUUGGGAGAAUUCCGAGUGUAGAGGUGAAAUUCGCAGAUAUUCGGAGGAAUACCAGUGGCGUAGGCGCCCAACUGGACAGUUAUUGACGCUCAGAUACGAAAGCGUGGGGAGCAAACAGGAUUAGAUA